GUGACCCCCGGGCCAGUGUCGUGGGUAAGACGGAGGGUGCAAACGGUGCGCGGGAGCAUUUGGCGUAAAGCGCACGUAGGCGGCCGAACAAGUCGGGUGUGAAAGCCCCGGGCGCAACCCGGGAAGUGCACUCGAAACUGACCGGCUUGAAUAUGGAAGAGGGUCGCGGAAUUCCCGGUGUAGAGGUGAAAUUCGUAGAUAUCGGGAGGAACACCAGGGGCGAAGGCGGCGACCUGGGCCAAUAUUGACGCUGAGGUGCGAAAGCGUGGGGAGCAAACAGGAUUAGAUACCCCUGUAGUC
rnacentral:rRNA from 1 species